rnacentral:rRNA from 1 species
AACGAACGCUGGCGGCAGGCCUAACACAUGCAAGUCGAGCGGACCCUUCGGGGUUAGCGGCGGACGGGUGAGUCACGCGUGGGAAUAUGCCCUUCUCUACGGAAUAGUCCUGGGAAACUGGGGGUAAUACCGUAUACGCCCUUUGGGGGAAAGAUUGAUCGGGGAAGGAUUAGCCCGCGUUGGAUUAGGUAGGUGGUGGGGUAAUGGCCUACCAAGCCGACGAUCCAUAGCUGGGUUGAGAGGAUGCUCAGCCACACUGGGACUGAGACACGGCCCAGACUCCUACGGGAGGCAGCAGUGGGGAAUCUUAGACAACGGGGGCAACCCUGAUGUAGUCAUGCCGCGUGAGUGAUUAAGGCGGUAGGAUAGUAAAGCUCUUUCAGCUGGGAAGAUAAGGACGGUACCAGCAGAAGAAGCCCCGGCUACCUCCGU